UUUCCGUAGGUGAACCUGCGGAAGGAUUAUUAAAGAGAAUAUGCCCUUCGGGGUAGAUCUCCCACCCUUUGUUUAUAUUACCUUUGUUGCUUUGGCAGGCCCGUCUUCGGACCACCGGCUUCGGCUGGUCAGUGCUUGCCAGAGGACCCAAAACUCUUAUUAUUAAUGUCGUCUGAGUACUAUAUAAUAGUUAAAACUUUCAACAACGGAUCUCUUGGUUCUG
rnacentral:misc_RNA from 1 species